GAGAUUAUCAUGAACCUUCGGGGGACGAUAACGGCGUCGAGCGGCGGACGGGUGAGUAAUGCCUAGGAAAUUGCCCUGAUGUGGGGGAUAACCAUUGGAAACGAUGGCUAAUACCGCAUAAUGCCUACGGGCCAAAGAGGGGGACCUUCGGGCCUCUCGCGUCAGGAUAUGCCUAGGUGGGAUUAGCUAGUUGGUGAGGUAAGGGCUCACCAAGGCGACGAUCCCUAGCUGGUCUGAGAGGAUGAUCAGCCACACUGGAACUGAGACACGGUCCAGACUCCUACGGGAGGCAGCAGUGGGGAAUAUUGCACAAUGGGCGCAAGCCUGAUGCAGCCAUGCCGCGUGUGUGAAGAAGGCCUUCGGGUUGUAAAGCACUUUCAGUCGUGAGGAAGGUAGUGUAGUUAAUAGCUGCAUUAUUUGACGUUAGCGACAGAAGAAGCACCGGCUAACUCCGUGCCAGCAGCCGCGGUAAUACGGAGGGUGCGAGCGUUAAUCGGAAUUACUGGGCGUAAAGCGCAUGCAGGUGGUUUGUUAAGUCAGAUGUGAAAGCCCGGGGCUCAACCUCGGAAUUGCAUUUGAAACUGGCAGACUAGAGUACUGUAGAGGGGGGUAGAAUUUCAGUGUAGCGGUGAA
rnacentral:rRNA from 1 species